AAGUUUACUUUAAAAAGAAUUGUGUGGGAAUACAUAUUAAAUAUUGAUCUUUCUUAAAUGGUGUUAUGUGUUAAGAAGAAAAUCUGAAAAAUCUAAGAACACAUCAAAAGAUAAUAACGAAUGAAAUAUCUUUUCAAUAUAGAAUUAUUAGAGAAGUAUUUUCACACACUUAAACUGAUGUAAGAUUUGAUUUGUAACAUCCUUUCAAUGAGAGUUAGAAUCUUACAAACAAACUUUGUGUCAAAUCAAACACAAACUAGAAUUGAUGUAAAUCAACUCGAUAUUGGCAACAACUCUCUCAAUCCUAAGAGGUACUUGAAAAAAUACAAUACUCUCAUGAACCUCAACGGCAGGAUGCCAGAAAGUUGAAAGCUUGGAGAGGCUAGAGAAAAAUACUUAAAGCCUAAAAAGGCAAAGUAAAGAAUAUUUGCAUGUUAUUUAUGGAAAUAGCGGAUUAAGUUAUCGAUUGUAUUGAGGCAAAAUCUCUUUGUAAGGAUAGGACAAGAUGUAGCAACAGUUUGUUGUAAACUAAUAUAAAAUAUAUGUGUCUCCUUUAUCCUUUUUCAUUUCGUAGUUCUUUAUGAUUCAACCUUACUUUGUCUAAACCUCUUUUAAAAUUAAGUUGAAUAUUUUUAUAAAAAAACAGUUCUUAUAAGGAAAUCAAAGUAGCUUUUAAGAGCGGAAAACACAAUUCAAACUCCCCUAUUUUUUGUGUUUUUCAGUCCCUUCAGUAAGAAGUUUUCACGGCUUAGAAAGUUUCUAUAUGAGGUUCGUAAAGGGAUUUAGUACCUUGGUUGCACCUCUUAAUGGAAUUGUUAAAAAAAGGAAGUUGAUUUUAAAUGGGAUGAGAAACAAGAGAAAACUUGUGUUGCCCUUAAAGAAAAACUCACUCGACCACCAAUUCUUGCAUUAUCAAAUUUUUCCAAAUAUUUUGAAAUUUAAUGUGAUGCAUCUAAUGUUGGAAUUGAGGCUUUUUUUUUAUACAAGAAAGACAUCCAAUUGCUUAUUAUAGUGAGAAAUUAAAUUGAGCCGCUUGAAAUUACUCUACUUAUAAUAAGGAAUUGUAUGCCUUCUUUUGGGCAUUACAAACUUGGAAACAUUACCUACUUCCCGAAGAAUUUGUCGUUCACAUUGAUCGUGAAUCUUUGAAACAUUUAAAAGGGCAAGGUAAGUUGAACAAGAGAAAUUCUAACUGGGUUGAGUUUCUUACAAGGUAAGGUAAAUGUGGUUGCUGAUGCACUUUCAAGAAGUAUGUUUUACUUUAUACUUUUGAAACAAAAAUUUUUAGACUUGAACAUAUUAAAGAAUUGUAUGAAAGUGAUCUUGAUUUUUCCUCAAUGGUUAUUUUAGGCAAAAAUGGCUAUUUAUUUAAAGACAAAAGACUAUAUGUGUCCAAAAAAUUUAUAAGACAAUUGCUUGUAAAAGAGACACAUGAAGGGAGGUUAAUGAGGGCAUUUUAGGGUUUUUAAAACUCUAGAAUUGUUACAAGAACAUUUUUAUUGGCCUCACAUGAAAAUUAAUGUGCAAAAUUUUUGUGAAAGAUGCAUUGUUUUUAAGAAGGCCAAGUCAAAAGUUAUGCAGUAUGGUCUUUAUACUCCUUUGCCUAUUCCUAAUUUUCCUUGGAUUGACAUUUCCAUGGACUUGUUUUAGGGAUGUCUAGAACAAAAAAUGGAAAAGAUUCUAUUUGUGUGGUUGUGGACAAAUUUUCAAAGAUGGAACAUUUCAUACAAUACGAAAAGGAGAGCUUUGUGGGGUAAGGUGGGAACAAAGCUACUAUUUUUCACUACUUGUCAUCCCCAAACAGAUGGCCAAAAUGAGGUAGUAAAUAUAACUUUUUCAACUAUUUUAAGGGUUACUCUUAAAAAGAAUUUGAAAAUGUGGAAAGAAUGGUUAUCUCAUGAAGAGUUUGCUUAUAAAAGGUUUAUCCAUAGAACUACACAACAUUUACCUUUUGAGAUUUGUAUGGUUUUAAUCAUUUAACGCAUCUUGAUUUGUUGCCAUUACCUAACACAUCUCUUUUGAAGCUUUAAGAUGGUGAAGCUAAGGCUGAAUUUGUGAGAAAAUUGCAUGAGCAAGUAAAAUUGAAAAGAAAAAUGAAAGUUAUGCAAAAAAGUGUCAACAAUGGGCGAAAAAGAGUAAUCUUUGAACUUGGGGAUUGGAUAUGGGUUAAUAUGAGAAAAGAAAGGUUUCCAUUACAAAGGAAGUCCAAGCUCCAACCUAGAGAUGAUGGACAUUUUCAAGUGCUUUCUACGAUCAAUGACAAUGCCUAAAAAUAGAAUUUCAUGUGAGUAUGGUGUAAGUGUUACUUUCAAUGUGUUUGACUCGUCUCCUUUCGAUGUAGGCGAUGAUGAGAUCAACUCGAGGUCAAAUUCUUAUGAGGAAGCAGGAGAUGAUCAGGACAUAAGUAAGUGAAGCCAUUCAAAGCUUAGGAGUUCCUAUGACAAGGGUCGUGCAAAGAAGGUCUAAAGUGUUGUAGUUCAAUUCAAUGGAAGCAAAAGGACCAAGAUGAAGGAAAUGAGUCAAAGUUUGUGCUUAUCAUCCAAGCAAGUGUUGAGGGCAUGAACCAUGGGCUUGCUGCUCCAUUUUGAUGCUUUAUUUUAAUUAAGUUAAAUAAAAAAGUGUAAGGGACCAAUUUGUGCAAAUUAGGCCUAAAGACACUUUAUUUUUUUUGUUUUUGUAUGUUUAAUCCAUUUUAAAGCUUCUAAAGCUUUAAAUGGUGUAUGGUUUAUUUGAAUUUAAUAUAAAUAAUGUGAUGAAGCAAAUGGAGAGCAAAGUCGGGCAUUCAAAUAGAAGGGGAAAAUGGUGCAAACAUUAAAGAAUGAUAGAGAUUGGCACAUACAUCAACAAAAGGGGCAAUGAAUUGUCAUUCAUUUAGUCUUAUUUAUGAAGAAAUAAAAGUGUAACCAUCUAAAACAAUCAUUGCAGAUGUCCCUCCUUAUAUUCAUUCAAUUUAUAACUAUUUGUUAAUUAUUUCAGCUCUAAA